AAACUAACAAGGAUUCCCCUAGUAACGGCGAGUGAACCGGGAAUAGCCCAACUUGAAAAUCUCCCUUUGGAGAAUUGUAGUCUAUAGAAGCGCCCUCUGCGGCGGCCGGAGCCCAAGUCCACUGGAAAGUGGCGUCAGAGAGGGUGAGAACCGUCGGCUCUAGGCUUAGCUGCUCCACGAGGUGCUUUCCAC
rnacentral:rRNA from 1 species